UAUAUGUACAGUUUGGGUCUCACAGAGUCACCUAACUGUGAGUGUGGAAAAGAAGGUGAUCUACUACAUAUUCUCCUAGAAUGUUCACAUCAAUUAGUAAAUAUAAACAAAUUUUAUGAUAAUCUUAAUAUAUUAAAAAUUCCACUUCCCGUCUACCUGAACAAUUUGAUUUUUUCUGAAGAUAUUAAUACAUU
rnacentral:lncRNA from 1 species